AGUGAACGCUGGCGGUAGGCCUAACACAUGCAAGUCGAACGGCAGCACAGUAAGAGCUUGCUCUUACGGGUGGCGAGUGGCGGACGGGUGAGGAAUACAUCGGAAUCUACUUUUUCGUGGGGGAUAACGUAGGGAAACUUACGCUAAUACCGCAUACGACCUACGGGUGAAAGCAGGGGAUCUUCGGACCUUGCGCGAUUGAAUGAGCCGAUGUCGGAUUAGCUAGUUGGUGGGGUAAAGGCCCACCAAGGCGACGAUCCGUAGCUGGUCUGAGAGGAUGAUCAGCCACACUGGAACUGAGACACGGUCCAGACUCCUACGGGAGGCAGCAGUGGGGAAUAUUGGACAAUGGGCGCAAGCCUGAUCCAGCCAUACCGCGUGGGCGAAGAAGGCCUUCGGGUUGUAAAGCCCUUUUGUUGGGAAAGAAAAGCAGCAGGUUAAUACCCCGCUGUUCUGACGGUACCCAAAGAAUAAGCACCGGCUAACUUCGUG
rnacentral:rRNA from 1 species